rnacentral:piRNA from 1 species
CGGUGGAGAAGUCUGGAGACGAC